rnacentral:lncRNA from 9 species
AUGGCCUUCCACUCCUUGACAGCACUCCAGCCGAGAGAGAUCAGGGACCCUGCUGUGGGAGGAAAAAGGGGGAGCCACCGCAACAGAACAGGAGGAGAAAGUACAUCCCAUAACCAGGAGUUAAGCCACCUUCCUCUGGGGCCAGUGAACACAUGCAAGGUGAGGAGAGGUCCUAGGAAGUCAGAGGGAGGAGAGGAGCUCAAGUCUUCCAGAUGUUUCAUUGUGGAGCAUCAACUUGUCCCUCCUGCAGAUAUGGAUGACCCCUCAUGGUCGGUGAGUUUGAUGAGAUGCUAUGCCAGACCCUCUUGAUACAGCACCUGUCAGGGAAUAAAAGGGGCAGGGGUGGAGGGGGGGGUCAGAAGGAAGCAACGACUUGUCGGGCACUUGAUGGCUUUGUUCUACCAUUGGGUCUCUGGUCAAACCAUUCAUUCGCUAACCAUGCAUUGAGCUGGGACUGUCCUAGGUGCAUCCAGUAGCUUCUGAUCUCACUGUCUGCACAUUUGUGCAUAUUUGACUCUUUGAAGGCUGCAGCCCCCCUAACAGGCCCUCUACCAGCAGCUGGUCCAGUUCCCCGCAUGCAGUAGGUGCUUAGACAUGGAUGGUUGAAUCAGAUCAUGUUGCAUUGGGGAAGAAUGGUAUUGACCUCUGUGAGUUCUUGUCUAGGCACCUUGUAGGUGCAUUGGAAUGCUCAGAAAACAUUUGUCAGAUGGAAGUGGAGUGGAGUGGAGAAGUUUGUAUUUGUUCCCAAGUCUGGCUGAGGUUUGCGGAGAGGAGAGGUAGGGCCUGUUUUUAUUUGCUGUCGCUUUGGUUUGAUUUUCACCGUAUCAGCUUCCCUGGAAGGGAAGGGGGCCCCUCAGGUGAAUGGCGAGGAACCCCAGAUCAGGCCUGGCUUAUAUUCUCAUAACUUUCUCAUAUUACCAGCUCUGGAUACCAACGCAUAGGCCGCCUCAUUGUGUAACAGUCCCCCAAGAAUUCCGGUGGACCCCUCGAUCAUCCUAACUCCCCCAAAAACAAAUCCCCAAGCAUAAAAGCCAGGCAUUCCCUAAAGUGAGUGACCCCAAGCCCACGAACGGGGCACCAAAGGCAAAAAAUAAUAGCCUUCCUUCAUUCUGCCUGAGGCUUGUGAUGCAACGCCAUAAAGCAUUUGAUUUAGGAUAUUAAAUGCCAUUGGUGAUGAGAACGUCGUGUAAGAUUUGCUUUGCAACGUCUUUCUUCUCAAACUGUCAUUAAAAAUGAUUUAUAGGUGAGCCCAGCUCUGAGAAACAACAUGAUUGGAAUUGAGGGCUGGGGAGAUCGGGUUUCUCCCGGGCAGUCUUGCCACGCUGUCCACAGUCCCAGAGAGGAAAAGCCUGCAAGAGAGACCACAACCUAGAGUUUCAAAGUCAAGGGCUUGCGUGGAA